UACGGGGGGGGCAAGCGUUGUUCGGAAUUACUGGGCGUAAAGGGCUCGUAGGCGGCCAACUAAGUCGGAUGUGAAAUCCCCAGGCUUAACCUGGGAACUGCAUCCGAUACUGGAUGGCUUGAAUCCGGGAGAGGGAUGCAGAAUUCCAGGUGUAGCGGUGAAAUGCUUAGAUAUCGUCAAGAACACCUAUAGCGAAGGCAGCUUACUAGGCUGUAACUGACGCUGAGGCACGAAAGUGUGGGGAUCAAACAGG
rnacentral:rRNA from 1 species